rnacentral:rRNA from 1 species
UACGUAGGGUGCGAGCGUUGUCCGGAAUUACUGGGCGUAAAGGGAGCGUAGGCGGACAUUUAAGUCAGGGGUGAAAUCCCAGAGCUCAACUCUGGAACUGCCUUUGAUGCUGGGUGUCUUGAGUGUGAGAGAGGUAUGUGGAACUCCGAGUGUAGAGGUGAAAUUCGUAGAUAUCAGGAGGAACACCGGUGGCGAAGGCGGGUCUCUGGGCCGAAACUGACGCUGAGGAGCGAAAGCGUGGGGAGCAAACAGG